ACGGAGGGUGCAAGCGUUACUCGGAAUCACUGGGCGUAAAGAGCGUGUAGGCGGGUAGUUAAGUCAGAAGUGAAAUCCAAUAGCUCAACUAUUGAACUGCUUUUGAAACUGAUUACCUAGAAUAUGGGAGAGGUAGAUGGAAUUUCUGGUGUAGGGGUAAAAUCCGUAGAGAUCAGAAGGAAUACCGAUUGCGAAGGCGAUCUACUGGAACAUUAUUGACGCUGAGACGCGAAAGCGUGGGGAGCAAACAG
rnacentral:rRNA from 1 species